rnacentral:rRNA from 1 species
AGGUCGUCUGAGUACUAUAUCAUAGAUUAAACUUUCAACAACGGUAUCUCUUGGUUCUGGCAUCGAUGAAGAACGCAGCGAAAUGCGAUUAAGUAAUGUGAAUUGCAGAAUUCAGUGAAUCAUCGAAUCUUUGGAUACACAAUGCGCCCCAUGGUAUUCCGGGGGGUAGC